UGGGGAAUAUUGCGCAAUGGCCGAAAGGCUGACGCAGCGACGCCGCGUGUGGGAUGAAGGCUUUCGGGUUGUAAACCACUGUCGGGGGGGACGAAAAAAAUGACGGUACCCCCAAAGGAAGCACCGGCUAACUCUGUGCCAGCAGCCGCGGUAAUACAGAGGGUGCAAGCGUUAAUCGGAAUUACUGGGCGUAAAGCGUGCGUAGGUGGUUUGUUAAGUCAGGUGUGAAAUCCUCGGGCUCAACCCGGGAACUGCGCUUGAUACUGGCAGACUCGAGUGUGGUAGAGGAUAGUGGAAUUCCCGGUGUAGCGGUGAAAUGCGUAGAUAUCGGGAGGAACAUCAGUGGCGAAGGCGGCUAUCUGGACCAACACUGACACUGAGGUACGAAAGCGUGGGUAGCAAACAGGAUUAGAUACCCUGGUAGUCCACGCCCUAAACGAUGGGUACUAGACGUCGGGAAGCUUGUCUUCUUGGUGUCGCAGCUAACGCAAUAAGUACCCCGCCUGGGGAGUACGGUCGCAAGAUUA
rnacentral:rRNA from 1 species